AAACUUUAAAAACUUGCCGACGCUCUCUAGAUCUAUGCAUGCAUUUAUUGCUUCCCCAUACUUCAACUCUUUUCUUGUAUAUAUAUACCACUAACCACUGUAUAAUCAUAAACCCUAUAAACAAAAGUGAGCUAUAGUAGUAAGUGAUAAACCUCAGAAAAAGAAAGCUAAUUAAGAUCAGAGAAAUGGCAGUUAAGGGUUUGAGUUUAGCCAUUUUGUUGAUUUGUAUUGUUGUGGCUUCUAGUGUGAAUGGAGCUUUUGGAGAAGCAAUCAAUUUUCAGGAAGCUUUGGUUCAUUGCAAUGGUGGUGUUGAAAAUCAAAAUUGCUGUAAAGUACUGAAUGCUGCUGUACAAAGGGAGCGUUAUUGCUGGUCUUCUCUUUUUGGACAGAUUUUCAUUGCUGAUCUCUUCAAGUGUGGUGUUAUGCCACAUUGUUGAGUAAGUUACCACAUUCCUGGAAAAUAUUUUCCUGCAAAUUAAGUGAUUUUUACUUAUUUGUUUAUAUGCUUAGUUACAAGGGCGUAUCUAGGGCGUCCCAAAGAACACGUGAACUCAUACUUUCCUCCCUAAAUCAUGUAAAGUAAUAUUAUAUAUUUUUUUAAAAUAAUUAAAUAUAUGUAUGCGCAUCAAACUCAAAGUAUUAUAUGAUUCGAUGGUUAUUACAUGCAGUUCUCUAAAUAAUUAUGGUUUCAAUCUUAUGUCAAUAUGUUAUAUAUUUUCUGUUUUCCUAGAACUAGGUGCCUGCCGGAGAUGAACAUGUCUGAUGUCAUUUUUUGUGUAUUAAUUUAAGUCGUUUUUUCUUUCCUUUUUCUUUAGUUUAUUCUUUCAAAAUGUUCACACAUUAAAAUUCAUAUUUUUCUUUUGUCACUCUAAAAUCUUAUAUGGUUAAAUGAAAUAUGUAUUUAAAACUUGUAGCAAUGGAUUAUGUAGCAUAUAGCCAAUAAGUUGAAUUGAUUCUAAUAUUUUAGACACGGAGUAUAAAUAUAGGUGUAAGAAAAUUACUAAUUUAAAAAAAAAAAAUUGAACUUAUAAUUCUAAAAUGUAAUGGGUGCAAUAGUAAGAACUGAAGGUUGAACCCGUAAAAUUUAUAUUUAGAUCUAUCUCUUUGUAAUAGUACACACCUCUUCCUAAAAUCCUGAAUGUGACUCUAUUUAGUUAGUAAGCAUAAAAUAUCAUACCGAGAACGUUUACUUUUUCUCUAAACAAACAUUAUGGGGGACGAAAUGGGUGCAUUCGGGUUUGUAUCCCUCAAAAAUACUAAUUGCACCAUAUACCGUCAAACUUCUUUAUAACAUUAUAGUUUGUUCCGAAUAUUUUUUUAUUUUAUAGAAAAUUAUUGUUAUAGAGAACAUAUAUUAUAACAAAACAUGACAUUUGGUUCCGAAAAAACUUGAUUUCUAUAGUGAAAUGUUGUUAUAUAAGGAUGUUGUUAUAGAGAGAUCAGACUGUAUAUCGUGUAUACGUAACUUACAUGCACGUGUUUAUUUUUGGAUUGCAGGUAUUUGAUGGACUAGUCAAGGUUUGUCUAACUAGAGAGAAACUAGCCUGGUGUUUCGACCUUUGAUUUUCCACAAUGUCUUAUAGAAAGAAAAGAAAAAACAAAGUUGAGUCUUUGUGUUCCCUAUAUUACCUCAAUAUUACUUGUAACGUUUCUUUUUCGUGUAACUUUAUAAUGAAUGAAUAUUUGUUCGAUGCUAAUUGCAAGGAAUAAUAUGUCUAAAUUUUCUUGUUUUUUUUCCUUUAGCCUAAAGGUUAUUACUUUUUAAAAUAUCAUAACUCCCAU
rnacentral:lncRNA from 1 species